CUACGGGAGGCACCAGUGAGGAAUUUUGCGCAAUGGGGGAAACCCUGACGCAGCAACGCCGCGUGAGCGAAGAAGGCCUUCGGGUCGUAAAGCUCUGUCAAGUGGGAAAAAAAGCUUUAGAUUAACAGUCUAAAGAAUUGAUGGUACCACUGGAGGAAGCACCGGCUAACUCCGUGCCAGCAGCCGCGGUAAUACGGAGGGUGCAAGCGUUGUUCGGAAUUACUGGGCGUAAAGCGCGUGCAGGCGGUUUGGCAAGUCAGAUGUGAAAGCCCUGGGCUCAACCCGGGAAGUGCAUUUGAAACUGCCUUUCUUGAGUAUGGGAGAGGAGAGUGGAAUUCCCAGUGUAGAGGUGAAAUUCGUAGAUAUUGGGAGGAACACCCGUGGCGAAGGCGACUCUCUGGACCAAUACUGACGCUGAGACGCGAAAGCGUGGGGAGCAAACAGGAUUAGAUACCCGAGUAGUC
rnacentral:rRNA from 1 species